CCUACGGGGUGCUGCAGUGAGGAAUAUUGGUCAAUGGGCGCGAGCCUGAACCAGCCCAGUAGCGUGAAGGAUGACUGCCCUACGGGUUGUAAACUUCUUUUAUAAAGGAAUAAAGUGAGGCACGUGUGCCUUUUUGUAUGUACUUUAUGAAUAAGGAUCGGCUAACUCCGUGCCCGCAGCCGCGGUAAUACGGAGGAUCCGAACGUUAGCCGGAUUGAUUGGGUUUAAAGGGUGCGUAGGCGGUCAGGUAAGUGAGAGGUGAAAUCUCGGGGCUCAAAAUCGGAACUGCCUCUGAUACUGUCUGACUAGAGUGUAGGUGCGGAAGGCGGAAUGUGUGGUGUAGCGGUGAAAUGCUUAGAUAUCACACAGAACACCGAUUGCGAAGGCAGCUGUCCAAGCUAUUACUGACGCUGAGGCACGAAAGCGUGGGGAGCGAACAGGAUUAGAUACCCUGGUAGUC
rnacentral:rRNA from 1 species